UACGGAGGGUGCAAGCGUUAUCCGGAUUCACUGGGUUUAAAGGGUGCGUAGGCGGGCAGGUAAGUCAGUGGUGAAAUCUCCGGGCUCAACCCGGAAACUGCCAUUGAUACUAUCAGUCUUGAAUAUCGUGGAGGUAAGCGGAAUAUGUCAUGUAGCGGUGAAAUGCUUAGAUAUGACAUAGAACACCAAUUGCGAAGGCAGCUUACUACGCGAAUAUUGACACUGAGGCACGAAAGCGUGGGGAUCAAACAGG
rnacentral:rRNA from 1 species